AUCAUUACAAAUUUCCAAUCCAAUGGACAAGAAUAAAUUCCUUAUGAAAAGCAGAUUCCGGUGGUUCUUGUUCCUCACCCUUGCCACAACUCUUUGACACUGGAAAUCCGAACAAUCCCAAGUUGCCAUCAUAGGAAUCAUUCAGAAAGGUAUUUAAUUGAUUUCCCUGAGGUAUGAGUCCAACAAGCUGGUUCUGUGACAGGUUUAAUACUUCAAGAAAUUUCAAACCAAUCAACUGCAUAGGAAUCUCCCCAACAAGCUUGUUGGUAGAGAGAUCCAGUGACUCAAGUGCUGUUAGAUUUCCCAGUGAGGAAGGAAUAUGACCUGUUAGGCUGUUAUGGGAAAAAUUGAGCAAUUGCAAAGAAAUGAGGUUUCCAACUAUUUCUGGAAUUCCUCCAUGGAAUUUGUUGCUUGACAUAUCAAUGGUUGCAAAAAGAGUUAGAACUCUCUCAGGUUCAAUGUCCAAACCUUUCAUUGUGACAAGCACAGAAAAAUGAUAAUAACGAUUCAAAUCUUGUAAAAACUUUGAUUAAGCUCAAUUAAUUAGGAAAAGAAUGAAGGACAGAGGAGCUGGCAGAAGAAAUUUGGGAUAGAGAAAAUUGGAGAUCAAAACUCUAUAGUCAUCUUUUUUCUCAGGUGUGUACAUAUGAGUAAUAACAAACCAAGCCGAAAAACUCAGACAUUGAGGAAAUGAAACUUAAAAGAGAAAAGAGCUAAGCACAGGAAUCCAGACAUGGAUUUCUGUGCACUACAACGGCCUUCAACAGCUAAGAGAAAAGUAAAGCAAAGAAAUAAAACGUGGCUUUUCAGCCCUACUUUCAGUCAAAUAAAACGGCACUAACAAGGGGCAUGUCUAACUGUUAAUUAAUUUCGUUGAAAAUUCGUUAAAAAUUUCAUCUUCAGAACAUAUGACUAACUGUUAAUUAUUUUCAAUAGAUUUUCAACGAAAUUUUUCGUUGAAAAUUUUUGUUGAAACCUUAAAAAUUUCUAUGUUAUCUUUAUCUUUUCCAACGAAAAAUUUCAUUGAAAAUUUCCAAUGAAAUUUUUCGUUGGAACCCUAUACUUUUCCUAUGUAAUCUUUAACUUUUGUAACAAAAUUUUCAAAGGAAUUUUUCGUUGGAAAGUAACUUUUGAAAGCAUCAAAACUUUUAUGACUUUUUAAACUUUUUAACGGAAUUUUCCGUUGAAAAAUUUCGUUAGAAAUAAUCAUAAUUUUUCCAGUUAUAAAAAUUUAAAAAUUUUUAUAAUAAUUUUUUUAAUUAUUUUUUAAAAAUUAGAUAUUACUAAAACCAAAUACAUAGUUAUUGAAGUUAAAUUUUUUUAAAGUUUAAAUAUGUUUUCCUUUGAGUAAUUUGUAUAAUUUUUUUAACUUUAAUGAAUCAUACAAUAUUGAUUAAUAAUACCAAAUUAGGGUAAUGUUAUAUUAUUCCAAAAUUUAAAAAAAUAACUAUGUAAAAUUUUAAAUUUUAUAAAAAACCAUGAUAAGUUAUAAANGUUGAAAAAGUUAAAGAGUAAAUGAUGCAUUGAAAAAAGUAACUUUUUAACGAAAUUUUUCGUUGGAAAGUAACUUUUGAAAGCAUCAAAACUUUUAUGACUUUUUAAACUUUCUAACGGAAUUUUCCGUUGAAAAAUUUCGUUAGAAAUAAUCAUAAUUUUUCCAGUUAUAAAAUUUAAAAUUUUUAUAAAUUUUUUUAAUUAUUUAAAAAUUAGAUAUUACUAAAAGCAAAUACAUAAUUAUUGAAGUAAAAUUUUUUAAAAGUUUAAAUAUGUUUUCCUUUGAGUAAUUUGUAUAAUUUUUUUAACUUUAAUGAAUCAUACAAUAUUGAAAUAUAAUACCAAAUUAGGGUAAUGUUAUAUUAUUCCAAAAUUUAAAAAAAUAACUAUGUAAAAUUUUAUAUUUUAUAAAAAAACCAUGAUAAGAUAUAAAAAUCAUAUAAAAAAUUAUAUAUUACAUUAUUUACGUUUUAAUUGUAAUUAGCUAAUAUAUGUAAAUUAAGAUUGAAGUUUUAUAAUAAAAUUAUUAAUAUUUGUGCUUAAAAAAUAUCAUUUUAUUAUAUGAGAUAUAUUAAAUAAAGGUCUACAUAUAUAUAUAUAUAAUUUAUGUAAGAUUAUAGUAAAUUUCAUUUAGAUGAUUAUAAUUAUUAAUGUAAUAGGAUAAAAAUCAUACAUUUUAUAAAAAUCAUAUUGAUAAUUAAUUAUACAAAUUUGGUUAAUACAUAUCAAUGUAUAACCUAUAAGUUGUGAUCAUUAUAUAUGUAUAUAAAAAAUUUAGUCAUAUCUGACUAUUACUUAUAUUGAGUAAUAUUAAAAAAAAAACUUUUUGAACGAAAAUAAAAUAAAUCUAAAAGUACUAUUAUUGUCAAGACUUGAACCUUUACCCACAUGUUAAAAGAGUUAAAAGAUAACCAUUUCUUCCACUAGCCCAUACUUAAAACUUAUCUCCCAAAUUUAAUUGGGUAUUAAACCAAAAUGAAUAUUAGUUGCCUUUGGCCCAAUACGUCGCCUUUCUGCCAAAAUUAGGUCCCCUUAACCCUACGUCAAAACCAUGUAGUUUUAAUCCAUAAAACCCUAGCUAUAAAGUUGCAAAUUUCUCCCCAAACCUGACUUUUGAAUUGCCAUUUUCUCUCUUUACCCGCGGCGCUCUCCCCUCUCUCUAAAACCUUUGCUCAACUUCCACGGCGUUCCCGGUGCUGUCCCGUUGCCGAUGGCCUGACUCCGGUUCCGACGUUGUCCUAUUUUAACAGCAAUCGGUCUCUCUCCGUCACCUUUGGCCCCGUCGUCCUGUUGCCAUAUUCUCUAGUUUGAACCUUUGCCGUCAUGACUUAAACACUCUUUGAAUGAAUCUGUCCCCGUCGCCUUAGUCCCCCUGGUGCUGCCUUACUCAUCGUCCGAUCCCUUCCACAAAUCGAGCCCUAGGGGUUAAUUUUGUAUACCUUGUUUAUUUGAUUUUUAUCAAUAUUUGUUUAUCAAUUGUUGCACCCUAGGUAUUUUUAAUGAUGUUAUUGUGUUUUAAUUAUUUGAUUUAGGGUUACAAGCCUAAACGUUUCAUUGCUUUAAUUUCAGUCAAAGGCUAAGGUCGACUCUGGAAGCAUAAAAACAGUGUUCAGUCUGCUUCAAAACAAGAUUGGGUUUUGGUAUAAUUUUGCAGGUGACUAAGAUGUAUAGAUAAGCAAUUAAAUGUUGGUAUUUGAGAACUGACCACCCCUGUUUUAAUUAUUUGAUUUGCUAUUACAAGCCUAAACGUUUGACAUAUUUAAAUGUUGGUAUUUGACAUAUUAUUUGAUUUGCAUUAAAUUUAGUUAAAAUUUUUAUCAAUAGUUUAUAAACAUAAAUAAAUAUGAUGUUUAUUAUAUUUUAAUGCAAUUUGGAUCAUCUAGCCGACUAGCCUAAUAUCUUAUUAGCCGAUUGGGAUCAAAAGCAAUUAACAUAUUUUACCUCAAGCCCAAAUAAAAUUAAGGCCCUAAUUAUAAUUUCCACUUUAAGUCUUAUAAUAUAACGCUUGAAUUUAUAGCCCAAUUUUAAAUUUCAAAAUAAAAUUGUCAUAACCAUAUGAAAUAAUUUAAAAUUUUGAUAUUUUAAAAAAUUGUAAUAAAUUGGAAAUUGCAUGGGUUAAUGAUAUUUAAAAGAAAGGGUAAACAUCAUGUAUAUAUAAUUUCAAUUCAAACUUAAUGUACAGUCACCAAUUUUAAGAUGCAGGUGUGAAUCUCUAAUUAAAGCAAUUUAAUGUGCAAAUAAAUAUAAACCAUCUACCUAGGUUUUUUGAUAAUUCAUGUAUGCAAUAAUUUAUACUAUAAGGGCUACUUUGCAUCUUACAAUGUAAUUUUGAAUAUAUUUAUAUAAAAUACAUAUUGAAAUGUAGGGUUUAACAAAUUGUUUUGUUACCAUCAAUACAAAUUAGUCUUGAUAAUGAUAUUCUAUGACACUUAGGAUUACAGAAUGUUGAGAAAUCGCUCUUGGAUGUACCGUCGAUUACAGAAUGCAUUCAUUACAGCUGAAUUUGUAAAUGGAGUUACUGAAUUUAUUAAUUUUGCAUGUUUGAAGACUACAUUUAUGUGGAAUAAUAAAAUUAGAUGUCCUUGCACACGAUGUAGUAACAACAAGUUCUUAGAUAAAGAUAAAGUCAUAGAACAAAUACUAAAUCGGGGUUUUACUAGGGCUUACACAAUUUGGAGUUUACAUGGGGAAGAUGAUGUUGGACAAUCAUCGAGAAGUAGAUCUAGAGUUGAACCAUCCCUUAGAUUUGAGGAAGAUGCUGCUUUUCGAGAACCUACAUAUGAAGAUGAAAUAGAAAAUCCAUAUACUAGAAUGGUUAGGGAUGCUAUGCAUACCGAAGUUGCUUUCAACCAUGGUUCUGAAAAUGAGUCGAGCUUUGUGGAAGAAGAUCCCAAUCCAAAUGCAUCUACCUUUUACUCUUUGUUAAGCAAUGUAGAGGAACCUUUGUGGGUAGGUUGCACAAACCACACAACGCUUUCAACUGUGUCGCAACUUUUAAAUGUUAAGGUGGAGUACAAUUUGAGUGAAUCGUGUUUUGAUCGACUAUUGGAGAUAAUAAAGAAUAUGUUGCCAUCUGAUGAGAAGUUACCUAUCGACUUUUAUAGGAUGAAGAAGAAGGUAGCAAAGCUUGGUUUGGGAUAUGUAAAAAUUGAUGCUUGCAAGAAUAAUUGUAUGUUAUUUUAUGAGCGAUUUGCUACGUUUGAGCAUUGUCAAGUAUGUGGACAUCCUCGGUAUAAACAGAGGAAUUCAAGUGUGAGAAGGCAGAAGAAAAUUCCUUACAAGAUUUUGCGUUACUUGCCACUUAUACCGAGGCUUCAAAGGCUUUAUAUGUCAUGUAAAACUGCUGAACAUAUGACAUGGCAUGCGCAACACCAAAGUGAUGAUGGACUGCUUAGACACCCUAUUGAUGGUGAGGCUUGGCAACACUUCAACCGAACACAUGAAUUCUUUGCAAUGGAACCUCGAAAUGUAAGACUCGGGUUAUGUGCUGACGGUUUCAACCCUUUUGGAUCGAUUGCCAACCCUUAUUUUCUUUGGCCAGUAAUGCUUUGUGUGUAUAAUUUACCCCCAUAGAUGUGUAUGAAACAACAAUAUAUAUUUCUUAACAUGGUUAUUCCGGGUAAGAAAAGUCCAAGUCAAAAUAUAGAUGUGUUCUUGAGGCCUUUGAUAGAUGAGUUGACUUUAUUGUGGAGAGAAGGUGUUAUGACCUAUGAUGCAUAUAGGAAACAAAAUUUUCAGUUGAGGGCAGCAUUAUUGUAGACAAUUAAUGAUUUUUCUGCUUAUGGUAUGUUGUCAGGGUGGAGUACACAUGGACGAUUAUCAUGUCCAUAUUGCAUGGGACAUUCUAAAUCUUUCAUAUUGGAACAUGGUAGGAAACCUUGUUUCUUUGAUUGUCGUCGGUAAUUUUUGCCAGCCAAUCAUCCUUUUAGGAGCCAGAGAGACAAAUUUAUUAAAAAAAGAGUUGAACAUGACUUACCAUUUCCUCGAUUAUCAGGCGAAGAAAUAUUGACACGUUUGAAUUCGCUUCCUCAUCUCCCAUUCGAAACAAAAUGUGAUGAGCGAAAGAGUUCAGGUUAUGGUGUUUUUCAUAAUUGGGUGAAGAAGAGUAUAUUUUGGGCUCUACCUUAUUGGCAUACGCUUCUUAUUCAUCACAAUUUAGAUGUUAUGCAUAUUGAACGUAAUUUUUUUUAGAAUAUACUCAACACAGUGAUGGAUGUUAAAGGAAGGACAAAGGACAACAUAAAGGCACGACAAGAUUUGAAGGUGUAUUGCAAGCGGCCAGAAUUGAAAUUGGUGGAAAAUCAUGAAAAACUGUACAAGCCUAAGGCUGCGUACACAUUAAAUAAGGAGGAAAUAAGAAAUGUCUGUUCUUGGGUUAAACAAUUGAGAUUACCAGAUGGUUUUGCGUCGAACAUUUCUCGGUGUGUUAAUGAGAUUGAUGGCAAAUUUUAUAGGAUGAAAAGUCAUGAUUGUCAUGUUUUUAUGCAACUAUUGCUCCCAAUUGUAUUCCGUGAUAUGCUGCCUCAAACAAUUUGGGAUGCAAUUACUGAGAUAUCUCAAUUUUUUAGGGAUUUGUGCGCAACUGAAAUACCUAUGAUCAUAUGGAAACAUUACAAGGAAAAAUAUGUGAAACUUUAUGCAAACUAGAGAAGAUAUUUCCUUUGGGUUUCUUUGACUCUAUGGAACAUUUGCCGAUUCAUUUACCUUACGGGGCCAAGGUUGGUGGACCCGUCCAGUAUCGAUGGAUGUAUCCAUUUGAGAGGUAAAAUAAUUGCUAUUUGUUUUCAUAUAUUUCUUUUGAAGAGUUUAAAGUACAUCAUAAGAUUGAUGAAUAUUGUGUUUAUUAGGUUUUUGCAACAGUUGAAGAAGAAAGUAAAAAAUCGUGCCUCUAUUGAAAGAUCUAUAUGUGAGGCUUAUGUUAUCGAGGAAGUUUCCUCGUUCUGCUCAUGGUAUUUUGAACCUGCUAUGCGAACAAGAGUAAAUAGAGUGCCACGUAAUGAUGAUGGGGGAGAGGUGGACUCUAUGGAUCGUCUUUCAAUUUUCACUCACCCGAGGUGAGCUUUUGGCCCAUCAGAUAAAUCUCGAUUUUUAGAUGAGGAUGAGUUUUAUGCUGCUGAGUUAUAUGUUUUAAUGAAUUGUGAAGAGAUGCUCUCAUAUAUAAAGUAAGUACCAUUACAUUUUUAACUUGAUAAUACCCUAUAAUAAGAUUGAAGUUAAUCACGUAGUCAUGGAUAUUAUGAUAGGAUAUUUGAUGAAAUUGUGAAGGGAGAUGUUGUGGGAAUUUCGAAAGACGAAUUGGAGAAAGUACGUGAUGCGAGAUUCGUUAAAUGGUUUAAAAAUUAUGUAAGUUUCCUUAACAUACAAGUGAACUUUUAAUUAAUCAUUGACGAAUAAAUUAUGUAAUUUAUUAUUUUAUUCUCUUGUAUCUCAUGUUCGUAGGUUGCAAAGCAUAAUGAGGAAAUAGACCAACGUAUAAUUGAAAUCUCUUAUGGUCUCGGACGUAUGAUAAGGUGUUAUAGUGGAUAUUUUGUAAAUGGUUUCAAGUUUCACACCUUAGAUUACAGCCAAAAUCGUAAGACAAUGAAUUGUGGGGUUUGCAUAAAAAGGAGUUUUUACAAUGAUCAUGAGCGUGACUUUUAUGGCAUCUUAGUAGAUAUAAUCGAGUUGGAGUAUUUUGGUAUAGGAAACAGAGUUGUUCUUUUCAAGUGUCAUUGGUUUGAUACUGAAAAAGGAAUAACGGUAGAUCGAUUGCAUGGUCUUGUUGAUGUGAAUUACAACUCAAUACUGGCUAGUAAUGAACCAUUUGUUUUAGCUGCCCAAACUCACCAAAUUUAUUAUAGUAGUUAUCCAUCAAGAAGAAGAGAUCAACGUGAUUGGUGGGCAGUAUUUAAGACAAAAGCUAGGAGUAUAUUUCAAAUUCCUAUUAGUGGUGAUAGAGAAAAUGAAAGUGAUUUGAAUGAAGGAGUAUACCAAGAAGAUGUGUCCAAUUCAAUUACUAGUACUCAAUCAGAAGAAGUUGAUUUAACAGAGUUAGCGAGUGGUGAUUAUGAAGAGGUUAAUCUAUCGAUUGAGGAUGAAGAAGAUCAUAUCGAUAAAGAUGAAGAUGAAGAAGAUGACAUGGAAGGAGAAGAUAAUGAAGAUGAUGAUAAAGAUGAAGAUGAAGAUGAAGAUCAUGUGGAGCACAAUGAUGGUGAAACUUAUAAUGAUGAUAGUGAUAAUAAUGUAGAAAAUGAGUUUGAUUAUUCAGGAAGUGAAUGAUGACGGUAGGCACGUAAGAUAUUGGUUUCAUAUUUUCUUUUGACGGUAGUGUUUGACUUUAAUUUUAUAAUAUUACAGUAUUUUGACAUGAUGUAAAAUUAUAACGUUUGCGUUAAAAUCAAUAUAUAAAUGUUGAAAUUAGUUAAUAUAUAAUUGCUGCUUUGCUUCUAAUAAUUAAGAAUUAACGGGUGUCAUUGUUGUGAAUUGAUGUUUUUUAUUCUGUUAUAAUAAUAAUCAUAUUAAUAAUAAUUGCUAAUGGGAUUUUAACAAUACAAUAUUGUAGGAACGAUGGUUAAAGGGAAGCAAUCAAAACUGAGACCUAAGUCUUCAUAUGCAUCGGCAACUAUGGUUGUGCCUACAAGUUCCCAAGCAUCUGAUGAUAUAUCCAUUCCACAACAGGUGCAGCAAGAGAAUAAUGAUGCGCCAUUUGAGACACAGUCUUUAUACGAUGCAUUUGCAGAGCAAGUAGAAAAUGAGACAUCUACACAUGAUAUUACAAGAUCCCCAUCUAUUGAUUUAGGUGGAAAUGCAAAUGAGACAUCGUCAAGAUCAAGAAGUAGGGGACCCAGUGUAGGAUUACAGACUCUUGUAGAUCCAUCGGACAGAUUGCGUAUAACUCCUAUUGGGGAUAGGUAUGUUAUCUUGUUAAACUUGUUAUAUUUUUUAAAGAAAUUUUUAAUUUUUUUAAUUUUAAUAUAUACAAUUAUUUGAAAUAUUUUAUAAGCACUUUUUUCGAGAGAGGGGUCACAUCUACAAUAACAAGGAUCAUCAAAAAUCACUUUAAUGGUCUAUGGUCGACAUGGAGGAAAGUCCCUAAUGAUAUAAAAGACUUAAUGUUUCGAAAAUUUCAGGUACUAUGUUUGUUAUUUAUUUAUUAUGCGUUUUUUUUCCAUUAAUUUGUAUAACUUUGUUAAAUUAUUGUAUUACAUUAUGUUGUAGGAAAAAUGUGUUUGGUCUGCACAUCAAGAUGUUUUAGUUCAACGCAUAUGGGAAAAAAUUUGUUUCGAUCGAUUAAGAGACAUGCUUUCAGAAGAAAGGCAUAAAGCAAUGAUUGAAGCCAAAACUAACAACAUUAUAGAAUGCAAAGGCAUGUCGAGGGAAUGGAUCACAAAUGAAAUAUGGGAUACCCUGAUCGAUACAGUAUGGGGUACAGAAGAGUGGCAAAAUAAAUUACGAAAAGUAAGGCAAAAUCGUUUAACGCCAAAAGAAGGAAUCAUUCCAAAGCACACUGGCGGUUCAGUUCCAUUUGUGGUUCAUGCAAAAAGGAUGGUAUGAAUUAAUGUUACUCAUAAUUAAUAUGUAUGUUUUCCCAUCAAUUUCAUUUAAAUUGUAAGUUUAGUAGUUGGAUUUCGGUUUUGCUUUACAUGUUAUAUAUAUCAGGAUAUAUAUAUAUCGAUUAUGAAUGACUAAAUAUAAUUGUUAAUAAAUUCAGGCAAUUGAACUGAAACGAGAUGUUACCUUCUUGGAAGUGUUCAACCAUACUCAUAAGCGCUCAAGGGGUCAUGGUGAUUUUAUUGAUAACAAGUCCAAGUCUACGAGUGUAAGUAAAAAUUCAUUAAUUUUUACUGUUUCUUCUAAGUUGAUGUUCUACUUCAAUAUUAAUCAUUAAUUAUGGUUUUUAUGUAGGAAAUGUAUAAUUCUGUAUUAUCGCAAAAGUAUGGUGAUGAUUCAUCUUCUCAGCCAAAAUUCGAUCCGCAUGCUUAGACUGAAGCAAUUGGAGGGAAGGAGACUACAGCACUCAAGUGUAUGGGUUUGGCACUCGUGUCCCUGCUACAGCUUUACUUACUGGAACACAAUCUAAUGCAGCAACAUCUGAGUCUGCGUGUGGCCCUAUCAACUCAAACUUUAACAGUCCUACAAAUGCAUUAGAAGAAAAAGUGAAAAAUCUUGCACAAAACUUGAAUAAGAUACGUGAGGAAAAACGUGAAGAAAUGAGAAAUGUGAUGGCGGAAGGCAUGAGUGAAUUUAUGGCACAUAUGGAAACCAUGUUCAUGAGUAGUGCGCGUUUAACCCUUGGCGAUGCAGGACCUUCGAGACUUGACAAGUAAGAGAAAAAAAAUUCCUUCACAUGAUGUAUAAUUUUCAGUGUAAACACUUGGAUACUUUUUAAUUUAGUUAUGUUUAAUAUUCAUAUGUAUCAAACUAUUUUAUAUAUUGUAUGUUAAGGAUAAUUUCUAAUUAGAUGUUAGGACUUGAAUCUCAAUUUUGUAAUGUGUAUUUCUUUUAUAUAUUUUACAGUUCGAAUGCGGAAUUAAAUUUAGUAUCGUAAUGAAAAUUGAUAAUUUUUUUUGAAAAUUUAUUAUAAAAAUAAUAGGUCAAAAUAUUUCCAAUAGAAAAUUUCGUUGGAAAUGCUAAAUGUUUUUCUGUUGGAAAUAAGAUUUCCAAUUGAAUUUCCUUUGGAAAUAAUUUUUCCAACGGAAAAAAUUUCGACUGAUUUUUCCGUUGGAAAUGGGAUUUCCAACAGGAAUUAUUCCUACUGUUUUUUCCGUUGGAAAUAGGCUUUCCAACAGAAAUUUCAUUAGAAAUUUUCAACGGAAUUAUUUUCCAACGGAUUUAUAAAAAAAAAGGUAAAAUUUUAAAUUUUCAACAGAUUUCCAACGGAAAGUAUUACCCACAAGGCUUGUACCGACAGAAUUUUUAACGAAAUUUUUCGUUGGAAAUCCAUUGGAAAUAAACAUUUCCAACAAAAAAAAGCCUAUUUCCAAUGGAAAAUUCCGUUGGAAAUAGCCAAAUUUUUUGUAGUGUAUAGUUAAGAAGGUUGAUAUUAAAAAGAGGAAAGACACUUGGUUAUUGGAUAGUGGCUAUUCAAACCAUAUAACCGGUUGCAAAGAAAACUCCAUCAGUCUAAAUGAGAGUUUUAGAAAUCAAAUGGAGAUUGGAAAUGGUGACAUGUUGCUAAUUUUUGGAACUAGUAUAGUGGGGGUACAACACCAAAUGGGACUAAAUCAAUGGCAAAUGUGUAUUUGGCUCCUGAUGUAAGCCGAAACUUACUCAAUGUAGGUCAACUGGUGGAUGAGGGCUUUGAGUUAACCUUUAAAGACAAAGUUUGCAUAGUCAAGGCCUCAGCUGGUGUAGAACUUUUCAUAGUGGGAAUGAAAAACAAAUGCUUUCCAUUAAAUUAGAUGGAUAUCAAACAUACUGCUUACAGCUGUAUUUUAGCUGAUACUGAGAUGUGGCAUAAAAGGUUUGGCCAUGUGAACUAUGGUUCACUCAAGUUGAUGGCUUUUUACAACUUAGUAGAAGGCUCCAGUGGUAUUUUUGUGGAUAACUUUAAGGCAAAGAUGCAAACAAAUUUUGAAAUGAGUGAUUUGAGGAAAAUGCCAUAUUUUCUUGGUAUGGAAAUAAAUCAAGGUUCUGAGUUAUACUCCUGCAUCAGAAAAAUUAUGCCUCUAAUUUGUUAAAAAGCUUUAAGAUGGAGAGUUGCAAGGCAGUAGCAACUCUUUUGGUUUUUGGUACUAAACUGAGCAAAGAUGAUGGUGGAGCUAAAGUUGAUGAAACUCGCAACAGAAGAUUGAUAGGAAGCUUAUUAUACUUAUCCUCCACAAGGCCAGAUAUCAUGUAUGCUACUAGCUUACUUUCAAGGUUCAUGCACAAGCCAUCUGAGAGCCAUUUGUGUGUUGCUAAAAGAGUUCUCAGGUAUGUCAAAGGAACUCUAAGUUUUGGCUUGAAAUUCUGUAAGAAUGAAAAUCAGAAGCUUCAAGGCUUUAGUGACAGUGAUUGGGGUGGAAGCUUGGAGGAAUCAAAAAGCACUUCUAGGUACUGUUUCUCAUUUGGCAUUGCAGUGUUUGCUUGGAAUUCUAAGAAACAAAGUAUAGUGGCAUAGUCCUUUGCAAAAGCAAAGUACACUACAAAAAAUUUGGCUAUUUCCAACGAAAUUCUCCAUUGAAAAUAGGCCUUUUUCCGUUGAAAAUGUUUAUUUCCAACGGAAAAUUCUGUUGGAAAUUCUGUCGGUACAAGGCCUGUGGGUAAUACUUUUCGUUGGAAAUCCAUGAGAAAUCCGUUGAAAAUUUGAAAAUUUACCUUUUUUUUUUAAAAUCCGUUGGACAUUUCCAAUGGAAAAAACAGUAGGAACAAUUCCUGUUGGAAAUAGAAUUUCCAACGAAAUUUUAGUUGGAAAUCCCAUUUCCAACGGAAAAAUCAAUAGGAAUUUUUUUCGUUGGAAAAAUUAUUUCCAACAGAAAAACAUUUAGCAUUUCCAACGGAAUUUUUUGUUGGAAAUAUUUUGACCUAUUAUUUUUAUAAUAAAUUUUCAGAAAAAAUUACCAGUUUUCAUUCCGAUACUAAAUUUAAUUUCGCAAUCGAACUGUAAAAUAUAUAAAAGAAAUACACAUUACAAAAUUGAGAUUCAAGUCCUAACAUCUAAUUAGAAAUUAUCCUUAACACACAAUAUAUAAAAUAGUUUGAUACAUAUGAAUAUUAAAUAUAACUAAAUUAAAAAGUAUCCAAGUGUUUGCACUGAAAAUUAUACAUCAUGUAAGGGAAUUUUUUUUUCUUACUUGUCAAGUCGUGAAGGUCCCGCAUCACCAAGGGUUGAAUGCUCAUUACUCAUGAACAUGGUUUCCAUACGUGCCAUAAAUUCACUCAUGCCUUCCGCCAUCACAUUUCUCAUUUCUUCACGUAUUUCCCCACGCAUUUCCUCAUGUAUCUUAUUCAAGUUUCGUGCAAGAUUUUCCACUUUUUCUUGCAAUGCAUUUGCGAGACUGUUAAAGUUUGAGUUGAUAGGGUCACACACAGACUCAUAUGUUGUUAAAGUUUGAGUUGAUAGGGCCACAAUCAAAGAAACAAGGUUUCCUACCAUGUUCCAAUAUGAAAGAUUUAGAAUGUUCCAUGAAAUAUGGACAUGAUAAUCGUCCAUGUGUACUCCAUCCUGACAACAUACCAUAAGCAGGAAAAUCAUUAAUUGUCCACAAUAAUGCUGCCCUCAACUGAAAAUUUUGUUUCCUAUAUGCAUCAUAGGUCAUAACACCUUCUCUCCACAAUAAAGUCAACUCAUCUAUCAAAGGCCUCAAGAACACAUCUAUAUUUUGACUUAGACUUUUCUUACCUAGAAUAACCAUGUUAAGAAAUAUAUAUUGUUGUUUCAUACACACCUAUGGGGGUAAAUUAUACACACAAAGCAUUACUGGCCAAACAGAAUAAGAAAUGGCAGUCGAUCCAAAAGGGUUGAAAUUGUCAGCACAUAACUCGAAUCUUACAUUUCGAGGUUCCAUUGCAAAGAAUUCAUGUGUGCGGUUGAAGUGUUGCCAAGCCUCACCAUCAACAGGGUGUCUAAGGAGUCCAUCAUCACUUGGGUGUUACGCAUGCCACGUCAUAUGUUUAUCAGUUUUACAUGACAUAUAAAACCUUUGAAGCCUCGGUAUAAGUGGCAAGUAACGCAAAAUCUUGUAAGGAAUUUUCUUCUGCCUUCUCACACUUGAAUUCCUCUGUUUAUACUGAGGAUGUCCACAUACCUGACAAUGCUCAAACGUAGCAAAUCGCUCAUAAAAUAACCUGUAAUUUUUCUUGCAAGCAUCAAUUUUUAUAUAUCCCAAACCAAGCUUUGCUACCUUCUUCUUCAUGCUAUAAAGUCAUAGGUAACUUCUCAUCAGAUGGCAACAUAUUCUUUAUUAUCUCCAAUAGUCAAUCAAAACAUGAUUCACUCAAAUUAUACUCCGCCUUAACAUUUAAAAGUUACGACACAACUGAAAGUGUUGUGUGCUUUGUGCAACCUACCCACAAAGGUUACUUUGCAUUGCUUAACAAAGAGUAAAAGGUAGAUGCAUUUGGAUUGGGAUAUUCUUCCACAAAGCUCGACUCAUUUUCAGAACCAUGGUUGAAAGCAACUUUGGUACGCAUAGCAUCCCUAACCAUUCUAGUAUAUGGAUUUUAUAUUUCAUCUUCAUAUGUAGGUUCUCGAAAAGCAGCAUCUUCCUCAAAUCUAAGGGAUGGUUCAACUCUAGAUCUACUUCUCGAUGAUUGUCCAACAUCAUCUUCCCCAUGUAAACUUCAAAUUGUGUAAGCCCUAGUAAAACCCCGAUUUAGUAUGUGUUCUGUGACUUUAUCUUUAUCUAAGAACUUGUUGUUACUACAUCGUGUGCAAGGACAUCAAAUUUUACUCUUCCACAUAAAUGUAGUCUUCAAAUAUGCAAAAUUAAUAAAUUCAGUAACUCCAUUUAUAAAUUCAGCUGUAAUGAAUCCAUUCUAUAAUCGACGGUACAUCCAAGAGCGAUCUCUCGACAUUUUGUAAUCUUAAGUGUCAUAGAAUAUCAUUAUCAAGACUAAUUUGUAUUGAUGGUAACAAAACAAUUUGUUAAACCCUACAUUUCAAUAUGUAUUUUAUAUAAAUAUAUUCAAAAUUAUAUUGUAAGAUGCAAAGUAGCCCUUAUAGUAUAAAUUAUUGCAUACAUGAAUUAUCAAAAAACCUAGGCAGAUGGUUUAUAUUUAUUUGCACAUUAAAUUGCUUUAAUUAGAGAUUCACACCUGUAUCCUAAAAUUGGUGACUGUACAUUAAGUUGAAUUGAAAUUAUAUAUACAUGAUGUCUACCCUUUCUUUUAAAUAUCAUUAACAGAUGUAGUUUCCAAUUUAUUACAAUUUUUAAAAAAUGUCAAAUUUUUCUAUUAUUUGAUACGGUUAUGACAAUUUUAUUUUGAAAUUUAAAUUUGGGCUAUAAAUUCAAGCGUUAUAUUAUAAGACUUAAAGUAAAAAUUGUAAUUAAGGCCUUAAUUUUAUUUGGGCUUAACAUAAAAUAUGUUAAUUGCUUUUUAUCCCAAUCGGCUAAUAAGAUAUUAGGCUAAUUGGCUAGAUGAUUCAAAUUGCAUUAAAAUAUAAUAAACAUCAUAUUUAUUUAUGUUUAUAAAUUAUUGAUAAAAAUUUUAACUAAAUUUAAUGCAAAUCAAAUAAUAUGUCAAAUACCAACAUUUAAAUAUGUCAAACGUUUAGGCUUGUAAUAGCAAAUCAAAUAAUUAAAACAGGGAUGGUUAGUUCUCAAAUACCAACAUUUAAUUGCUUAUCUAUGCAUCUUAGUCACCUGCAAAAUUAGACCAAAACCCAAUCUCGUUUUGAAGUAGACCGAACACUGCUUUUAUGCUUCCAGAGCCGACCUUAACCUUUGACUAAAAUUAAGGCAAUGAAAUGUUUAGGCUUCUAACCCUAAAUCAAAUAAUUAAAACACAAUAACAUCAUUAAAAAUACCUAGGUCGCAUCAAUUGAUAAACAAAUAUUGAUGAAAAUCAAUUAAACAAGGUAUACAAAAUUAACCCCUAGGGCUAGACUUGUGGAAGGGAUGGGACGGCGAGUAAGGCAGCACUAGGGGGACUAAAGCGACAAGGACAGAUUCAUUCAAAGAGUGUUUGGGUCAUGACGGCAAAGGUUCAAACCGAAGAAUAUGGCAGCAAGACGAUGGGGCCAAAGGUGACUGAGAGAGACCGAUUGCUGUUAAAAUAGGACAACGCCGUAACUGGAGUCAGGCCAUCGGCAAAGGGACAGCAUCGGGAACACCGUGGAAGUCGGGCAAAGGUUUUAGAGAAAGGGGAGAACGCCACAGGUAGAGAGAGAAAAUGGCAAUUCAAAAGUCGAGUUUGGGGAGAAAUUUGUGACUUUAUAGCUAGGGUUUUAUGGAUCAAAACUACGUCGUUUUGACGUAGGGUUAAAGGGAUCGAAUUUUGGCAGAACGGCGACGUAUUGGGCCAAAGGCAACUAAUAUUCAUUUUGGUUUAAUACCCAAUUAAGUUUGGGAGAUAAGUUUUAAGUAUGGGCUGGUGGAAGAAAUGGUUAUUUUUUAACUCUUUUAACAUGUGGGCAAAGGUUCAAGUCUUGACAAUAAUAGUACUUUUAGAUUUAUUUUAUUUUCGUUCAAAAAGUUUUUUUUUUAAUAUUACUCAAUAUAUGUAAUAGUCAUAUAUGACUAAAUUUUUUAUAUACAUAUAUAAUGAUCACAACUUAUAGGUUAUACAUUGAUAUGUAUUAACCAAAUUUGUAUAAUUAAUUAUCAAUAUGAUUUUUAUAAAAUGUAUGAUUUUAAUCCCAUUACGUUAAUAAUUAUAAUCAUCUAAAUGAAAUUUACUAUAAUCUUACAUAAAUUAUAUAGUAAUAAAUAUAUAUAUAUAUAUGUAGACCCUCAUUUAAUAUAUCUCAUAUAAUAAAAUGAAAUUUUUUAAGCACAAAUAUUAAUAAGUUUAUUAUAAAACUUCAAUCUUAAUUUCCAUAUAUUAGCUAAUUACAAUUAAAACGUAAAUAAUGUAAUAUAUAUUUUUUUAUAUGAUUUUUUUAUCUUAUCAUGGUUUUUAAUAAAAUAUAAAAUUUUACAUAGUUAUUUUUUAAAAUUUUGGAAUAAUAUAACAUUACCCUAAUUUGGUAUUAUAUUUCAAUAUUGUAUGAUUCAUUAAAGUUAAAAAAAAUUAUACAAAAUUACUCAACGGAAAACAUAUUUAAACUUUAAAAAAAUUAAAAUUUUACUUCAAUAACUAUGUAUUUGGUUUUAGUAAUAUCUAAUUUUCUAAAAAUAAUUAAAAAAAUUUAUAAAAAUUUUAAAUUUUAUAAUUGGAAAAAUUAUGAUUAUUUCCAAUGAAAUUUUCUAACGGAAAAUUCCGUUGGAAAGUUUAAAAAGUCAUAAAAGUUUUGAUGCAUUCAAAAGUUACUUUCCAACAGAAAAUUCCGUUGGAAAAGUUAAAGAUUACAUAGGAAAUGUUUAGGGUUCCAACGGAAAUUUCCAACGAAAAAUUUCAUUGGAAAUCCAUUAGAAAUAAUUAACAGUUAGACAUGUGUUCUAAAGAUGAAAUUUUCAACGGAAAAUUUCGUUGGAAACUAUCAAGAUUACACCCAUUUUUUUAAAAAAGUUUAAGGUUCCAACGGAAUUUUUCGUUGAAAAUUUCCAAUGAAAAUUUCUAUUGGAAAUCCAUUGGAAAUAUUAAACAUACCAUGUGUGUGUUGUACAAGCCAAAAUUCCAACAGAAUGUCCAACGGAAUUUUCGUUGAAAAUUUUUCAACGGAAAUUUCCAUUAGAAAUUCCGUUGGGAAUUUAAUUUUCCAACGGAUUUCCAACAAAAAUCCUGUUGGAAAAUUUCUAACAGAAAUCCGUUGGAAAUCUGUUGGAACUAGUAGAUAAAAAUUUUAAUUAAAUUCCAUUGAAAAUCCGUUAGAAAUACAAUGAUUUUUUGUAGUGAUAAAUAGGACUUCAUCCACUUCUGGCUCUUCAACAACAACAGCUUUCUCAUCAAUAUUUUUACCUUACUUUUGCACACUUUCUCCACAUGACCUUGCUGGUGACACCUCUUGCACUUAACAUUUGGUUGAAACCAGUAAAACUUCUCUGUAUGAUUCAUUUUUUUUUUUUUCAGUAUGUUUGAUAUCCAUCCAAUUUAAUGGAAAGCAUUUGUUCUUCAUUCCCACUGUGAAAAGUCUUGACUAUUCAAAGUUUGUCUUUGAAGGUUAACUCAAAGCCCUCAUCUGCUAGUUGACCUACAUUGAGUAAGUUUUGGCUUACAUCAGGAGCAAAAUACACAUUUGCCACUGAUUUAGUCCCAUUUGGUGUUUGUACCCCCACUAUACUAGUUCCAAAAAUUAGCAACAUGUCACCAUUUCCAAUCUCCAUUUGAGUUCUAACACUCUCAUUUAGACUGAUGAAGUUUUCUUUGCAACCGGUUAUAUGGUUUGAACAGCCACUAUCCAAUAACCAGGUGUCUUUCCUCUUUUUAAUAUCAACCUUCUUGACCAUAAAUAGGACUUCUUCAUCCACUUGAGGCUCUUCAACAACAGCAGCUUUCUCAUCAAUAUUGUUACCUUACUUUUGCACACUUUCUCCACAUGCCUUGCUAGUGACACCUCUUGCACUUAACAUUUGGUUGAAACUAGUAAAACUUCUCUGCAUGAUUCUUUUUUUUUUUUUUGCAAUGAAAGCAAGGUGGAAAUGACUUCUUACUUUUCCCAUGUCUCUUCUCAUCUAACUUUUUUUCCUUUAUCCUUUCUGUCAAUUUCAUUCUUCUAAGAAUUACUACUACCAAGUUUUACACUUUUUGAUUACACUACCAAGGCAUUCUCAAUAAGACCUUUUUGCCUAAAGGCUCUCCUCUGCUCUAAGCCUUUUAGUGCAUUUACCAAUUCCUUAAAGGUCAUCUGACUAAUGUCCCUACAGUCAUAUAAUGAUGAGAUUUUAGACUCAUACUUCUUUGGUAAUCCUAUCAGCAUCUUACACUCUAAUCUUUCCUCAUCCAUCUCUUUCCCAAGCAACCUACACAGGUUUACAAUCCCUAUCAUCUUCCUAGAAAAUUCCCUAAUAGUUUCAUUAUCAUCCAUUGACAGCAUCUCAAAUUGCCAAGACAAAUUUAAGGCCUGGAUUUUUCUAGUUUUAUCGCUACUACGAAAUUUCUCUUUUAAAUGAUCCCAAACAUCUUUUGGGUUAUCUCAAUUCAUUAUCCUAGAAAAUAUUUCAUCAGAAACUGUCGAUUGUAAAUAAGAAAGUGCCUUAUAUCUUUUUUCCUUGUCUUCUUCAAAUUGCCUUAUCUGAGCUAGAGUUGGGUUGGCAUGCCUUUAAAUAGCUUCUGCUCCGGUCUCCACCACUUUUCAGAGAGAAAAAGCUUUGAGAUAAGACUACAUUUUCACUGACCAAAAAACAUAAUUUUCUUCAAUAAAGACUAGAGGAGUAGUAGUGCUAAACCUUGAGGUAACCAUGAAUCAAAACCUUAAAAUAAAGCUGGAAACUAAACAUGAGUGGAAAAAACAAAAGGAAAACCGGCCCCUUAAGACACUUUUUGCUAUGACAUCAUGUAAAAACUUUGAUUAAGCUCAAUUAAUAAGCAUAAGAAUGAAGAAUAGAGGAGCUGAAAGAAGAAAAUUGGGAUAAAGAAAAUUGGAGAUCAAAACUCUAUAAACAAACCAAGCCGAAAAACUCGACAUUGGGGAAAUGAAACUUAAAAGAGAAAAUAGCUAAGCACAGGAAUCCAGACAAGGAUUCCUGUGCACUACAAUGGCCUUCAACGACUAAGAGAAAAGUAAAGCAAAGAAAUAAAAUGUGGCUUUUCAGCCUUACUUUCAGUCAAAUAAAACGACACUAACAAGAGGCGUUUAAGCCAUCAAAUCUAAAGUCCAAAACGACAGCUUACUAAGUGUUUCAUUAAACUAUGAAUCAUAACGACACCGUUUAGAACUUUCUUCUUCCCUUCAACGGUCAGUUGACCUUGGUGCCCUGAUACUUCUUUAAAUUCACCAUUUAAAAUCAUUGGAUUCUCAACAAAUCUUCCAUUGAAGUCCUUUGAACAUUGUACAAAGUCAUCAAACCCUUGAAACUUUUAAGAUAUGUUGUUGGCAGAAGCCCAAAGAACUCAUUGUUGGAGAGGUCUAAGAUUCGCAGAGCUGAGAAGUGCGAUUCAUUUUCUGAAGGGUUUAUUUGACCAUGGAAAUAGUUGGAGCGCAAGACAAGAACUUGUAGCUGAGGAAGAGUUCCCAACCAGUAGGGAAAGGUAUCAUUCAUCUUGUUGUUUCCAAGAUUUAACACUUCCAAAUCAUGACAGUUCACCAAGGAUUUAGGAAAUGGCCCGCCAAAAUCAUUGUUGUUGAGGUUAAGCAUCGGUAAUUUGUUGUUGGCAACAAACGAAUUAGGGAUAUUUCCAUGAAAUUUAUUCGUGUGCAAAUCCAGGACAUUAAGAUUAGACCUGAUAUCUCCCAAGACCAGACAUUCUAGAAUAGCUCGACUCAAGUUGUUAUUAAACAAGUCAAGAACUGAAAUUGACAUCAAAUUGCAUAUUGCAGAUGGAAUUUCUCCAAUCAAUUUCUUUUUGAGAUUAAGAAAAUUACCAGCCUUAAAUGUUGCUGUUUGAAAGGUCUAAUUAUUCCAAACUCUCUUGAAUUAUCAAAAAAUUUGAAAAUUCAGUUACAUUGCAAGAAGACAACGAUAAAAACUAAGAUUAGGCAAGACAAAUCUAGCGUUGCUAUUAUUGCUCAGGGAUAGUGGAAUGUUAUGUGAAAGAACAAGUGAAUCAAGGCUUUGAAGCUUUAAAAACAUAGUUGCCUCGAUGACACGGAUUUUAUUGUAAGAAAGGUUUAGAUAGAUCAAACCUUCGAGAUUUCUUACAAAAUUCGGAAAUUCACUUAUGUUGCAAGAAGAUAAUUCUAAUUUGGGCAAGGAGUUAUACGCAUUGCUUCCACUGGUCAAUGACAGUAAAGCAUUAUUUGAGACAGAUAGAGCCCAAAGAUACUUAAGCUUUGAUAGUUUAUCGAAUUUAAAAAUGCCAUCCAACUUAUUUGAGGAAAGAUCAAGAUGGGUAAUGUUCACAAGUUUGAAAAUAGAGCUUGGAAUUGGACCAUUCAUCUCAUUAUUCUGCAGGGAAACAAUCUCCAAGGAAGCAACCUUCUCAAAUGGGUCAAUAGGACCAAUUAGGUUGUUAUAACUGAGAUCCAAAUCAACCAAAGUUGGAAGAGUAAACAACCAAUUUGGUACUCUACCAUAGAGAAAGUUAUGGUCCAAGUGUAGUCUCAAUAGUAUUAUUAGUUUUUGUUUAAUAUAUUAUUAGAUUUUAUAAUCUAUUUUUAAAAAAUUAAAAAAAAAAUUAUUAUGCUAUUUUUAUAAACUUUUUAAUUUUAUAACAUUAAUGAAUUUUGAACAAUUAAUUUAUAAUUUAUGAUUCAAUAAAGUUUUUAAAAUAUAUAAAAAAUAAUAAGCAAAGAAAAACAUAUUUAAAUUUUUAAUAUUAUAAAUCUCAGUAUGUACAUAUUUAAUAUUAUUAAUAUAUUUCCUAUAAAGGAUUAAUAAAAUUUUAAAUAAAAAAAGUUAAAAAAAAAUCAGCCNAAUGAAUUUUGAACAAUUAAUUUAUAAUUUAUGAUUCAAUAAAGUUUUUAAAAUAUAUAAAAAAUAAUAAGCAAAGAAAAACAUAUUUAAAUUUUUAAUAUUAUAAAUCUCAGUAUGUACAUAUUUAAUAUUAUUAAUAUAUUUCCUAUAAAGGAUUAAUAAAAUUUUAAAUAAAAAAUUAAAAAAAAUAGUAAUACCGAUAGAAUUCUCCAACAGAAUAUUCUGUUGGAAAAUUUUCGUUGGUAAUGGCUUAUUCCAAUGAAAAAUUUCAUUGGAAAAUUUAGCAAGCUUUAAAUUUUUCUUGGCCCCUUAAACUUUUUGACGGAUUUCCAAUGGAAAGUUUGACAGAAGUAAAUUUUUUUGGCACCCAACAAAUUAUUUUUUAUUGAAAAAUUUCAACAAAAAUCCAUUGGAAAGUUUGGCAGGAGUUUUUUUUUUUUUUGCUCCAAAAAAAAUUUCGUCGGAUUUCCAACAGAAUAUUUCUAUUGAAAAUCCAUUGAAAAUAUGUUAGAAAAAAUGCAAAUAAAUUUCUAUUAGAAAUAUAUUGGAAAUUUUCAACGGAAAUUUUUCGUCGGAAAAAAUCAGUUUUCUUGUAGUUUAGCAAUGAAUUUCUCCAUUGAGAAAAAGAAACAUAAUAUUUUGAAUUUCCUCGGUGAUUAAAGGUCAUUUUGAAGGCUUUUCACUAUUAUGGUCACAUGUUUCAGCAGUUCUUGUGUCAUUUGCUUGGUUGUUAAAUUCAGAACAAAAUGAUCCACAAUGCUUUUACUCAAUUUUAAAAAUACAAAUUGAUUGAUUGAUGGUAUUAAUGCAUUUUAUAAUUUAUUUUUUACAUUAAUUUUAAAUUGAAAAUAUUUUAUCAAUAAUAAAUAUAAAAAAUAAUUUAUAUUUGAUGCACCAACAGUAUAUUAGUUAACCACAAAAUGACACAUCAUCACUAAGUUAAAAUUCAUUAAGCCCUUAAAAAUAAAUGUAAAUAAUUUAUAACAUUUAAUUGUAUAAAAACUGAAAUAAGUUUUCUUGCUCUUGGAACUCUAUCUUGACAUUAAAAAAAAAAAAAACUCUCUCUCACUGAUUCUUUCAUUUUGAAUUUAGAUUCAAGAAAUAGUAAUACAUGAACAACAGAGUUGUUAGAGCUCUGAACAAAUGCCCAUGGACUACAAGUACAAGACCGUAACUGCUCAUUCCAUCAUCAAGAGAGUUCUUGAGAUUGUGUUGUAUCCUGCAAAGCAAAUAUUGCAGGCGGUUUCCAAGUUUCAAACCUUAGCUUUCUCCUUCUCUUUAUCCCUCCACGUUCUGUUGUGCUUCCAUUGUCACUGAUUUCUUUCAAGUGAUGAUAUGCUUUUAACUAAACCAAGAUACUUGGUAAUUCUGAUAUGUCGCAUCCCCUUGAUAACUGAAUCCACUUCAUGUGGUAAGUGCAUCAUGACUCAGGUUAGAAGGAUGCAUUGACUAGCAAAUUGGUUUAUGGUCAUGUGUUCGGAAUUCCAAUCACUGUUGUUUUGUAUUGUUAUUUGUCAAAUCUGGAUUGUUUUUGAGAGAAUCAUUAAGAAAGUUAGAGAAAAACUUAUUAAACUUUUAAUAUAAUUAAAUGCUAUAAAUUAUUGAUAUUUAUUCUUAAGGACCUAAUAAGUUUUAAUUUUAUUUAUUAAUGAUGUAUCAUUUUGUGGUUUACUAAUAGUGUAUAGCUUGCAUAAUGUGCAUCAAAUAAAAACCCCAGAAAAAAAUACAAAAAUAAAAAAUUGGAUAAAAAGGGAGAAAAUCAUGUUUGGUGUAUUACAAUUUGAAGUGAAUUAAAUUUACCCUCUGAAAUUUUAAAUGUAACACUUACCUAUCUUAUGAUUUUUCACAUCACUUAGUUUUUCUACCUUCAUUGCCAUUCAUCAUAGCUAUCAUAUUUUCGAUCACCCUGAUUGGUAAUGUACCACUAAAGUCAUUGGUGGAGAUGUCACAAAUUCUCAAGCUGGAGAAGGAGUGCUCAAUCCUGAAAUUGCUUGUGAAGCAAUGGAGGGAAUUAGACCUUAAAACAACAACUUGUAAUUCUUUUAGCAUUUCUUGCCAAGCAGGGUAUGUAUCAUUUAGCUUGUUGUUGCCAAGAUCCAAAAGCUUCCAAGUUCCUACAUUUCGUGGAAGACUCUGGCAGUGGCCCUUCCAAUUAAUUACCAUUCAAGUUGGGAUCCCCUAAUUCACAGCCUUCGGGAAAUGUUGGGAGGAAUGCUGCAAUAAAGCCUAUUCAUUCGUAAAUUCAACACUCUGAGGCUUUUGCUUAAAUUUCUAAAACAUUGUGGAAUGGUUCCAUUGAAAUGGUUAUGAGAAAAAUCGAGAACCUGUAGAUUACUUAUACUGCAUGGCAAAGAAGAUAUUUUUGCACUAAAACUAUCGUUUGAGACUGCCAAAAAAUUAAUCGAGCGUGGAAUUGAAAGGGCUCCCUGAAUUUUUAUUAUUUUCUCAUAUUUAAUUACUCUUAGAUUGUGAAGUUCUUUCUGAUUAAACUAAUUUUUUCAGAAUCUCUUAAAUCAUAAAGAAGAAGGCCUUGAAUAAUUUUGUCCAGUCUCUAGAUCACUCCUGACCUUAGUACCAAUGGUUCUAAAGUCAAAGUAUAUACACAGAAAAUUUUGAUUUUUCUCUCCUGGUUUGCAUUGUUCUAUUUGCUUUGCCUUUACCUAACACAUGCAUGGAAUUGCCUGUGUUAGAACAAGCAAAAUUCUCAAGCAUGACCUAUUUUGUGGAAAUUCGGCUUUAUGUUUAAAGAAAUUCUAUUUUUACAUUCAUCUUCUAUGAUUUACUUGCUUACAAGUUCUUUCUUUGGAUAACUUGCUGAAAGAAUUCAACUUUAAAUUGGAAUCUUAUAACUUCAGUAACACGCUUACAGGUUCUUUCUUUGGAUAAGCGAGUAAUUUCAUUCAUCAAAGUACAUAAACAUGUUACAAGUUCACAGGUGACAGUACCCUCAGGAAUCAAGACAGUCAAAACAAACAAGGAGAAAACUGCUAAAGAAUCCAAGCCCUGAGAAAAAAAAAAAAAAAAAUAGUUAUUCCUCAAAAAUUUCUUCAACAAACCUCCAAAGAGCAGCAUCUGUCUUCAUAGAUUCUUCUUCUUCAAUGAUAUCUCUUCAAUCUCCUCAGAAUUUUGUAGCCUAGUUUUUGAACCAUCCUAACAAGCCAUUCUGGUUUUCUAAUCGUCAACAUGAUAUAUCCUGCAGAUAAUCCAAGCACCAACCCGCAUCCAUAGCCCAUCAUUACAAAUUUCCAAUUCAAUGGACAAGGAAAAAUUCCUUCCUCAUGAAAAACAGAUUCCGGUGGUUCUUGUUCCUCAUCCUUGCCACACCUCUUUGACACUGGAAAUCCGCACAAUCCCAAGUUGCCACCAUAGUAAUCAUUCAGAAAGGUAUUGAAUUGAUUUCCCUGAGGUAUAUGUCCAACAAGCUGGUUCUGUGACAGGUUUAACACUUCAAGAAAUAUCAAACCAAUCAACUGCAUAGGAAUCUCCCCGACAAGCUUGUUGGAAGAGAGAUCCAGUGACUCAAGCGCUGCUAGAUUCCCCAAUGAGGAAGGAAUAUGACCUGUUAGGCUGUUAUGGGAAAAAUUGAGCACUUGGAGAGAAAUGAGGUCUCCAACUAUUUCUGGAAUUUUUCCUAGGAAUUUGUUGCUUGACAUAUCAAUGGUUGUAAAAAGAGUUAGAAUUCUCUUGAGUUCCACGUCCAAAUUUUUCACUCUGACACGCACUGAAAAAUUGUAAUAAAGAUUAAAAUCUUCCAUGGAUUUCGUUUGAACAUUGGACAAAUUCAUCAUACCCUCGAAACUUUUAAAAUAUGUUGUUGGUAGAAAACCAGAGAACUCGUUGUUGGAGAGGUCUAAGAUUCGCAGAGCUGAGAAGUGCGAUUCAUUCUCUGAAGGCCUGAUUUGACCAUGGAAAUAGUUGGAGCGCAAGACAAGAACUUGUAGCUGAGGAAGAGUUCCCAACCAGUGGGGAAAGGUAUCAUUUAUCUUGUUGUUUCCAAGAUUUAACACUUGCAAAUCACGACAGUUCUCCAAGGAUUUAGGAAAUGGCCCAUCAAAAUCAUUGUUGUUGAGGUUAAGUAUCUGUAAGUUGUUUCCUACAACAAACGAAUCAGGGAGUUUCCAUCAAUGGUUGUAAAAAGAGUUAGAAUUCUCUCAAGUUCAAUGUCAAAACCUUUCACUGUGACACGCACGGAAAAAAUGGUAAUAAAGAUUAAAAUCUUCCAUAGAUUUCCUUAGAACAUUGGACAAAUUCAUCAUACCCCUAAAAUUUUUAAAAUAUGUUGUUGGUAAAAAACCAGAGAACUCAUUGUGGGAGAGGUCUAAGAUUCCCAGAGCUGGGAAGUGCGAUUCAUUCUCUGAAGGCCUGAUUUGACCAUGGAAAUAGUUGGAGCGCAAGACAAGAACUUCUAGCCGAGGAAGAGUUCCCAACCAGUGGGGAAAGGUAUCAUUUAUCUUGUUGUUUCCAAGAUUUAACACUUGCAAAUCAUGACAGUUCUCCAGUGAUUUAGGAAGUGGCCAGUCAAAAUCAUUGUUGUUGAGGUUAAGUAUCUGUAAUUUGUUUCCUACAACAAACGAAUCAGGGAUGUUUCCAUGAAAUUUAUUCGUGUGCAAAUCUAGGACUGUAAGAUUAGGGAUCUUACCUCUCGAGAUCAGACAAUCUGGAAUAGCUCCACUCAACUUGUUAUUGGACAAGUCAAGAAUUGAAAUUGACAUCAAAUUACAUAUGGAAGAAGGAAUUUCUCCAAUCAAGUUAUUUUUUGAGGUUAAGAAAACUUCCAGGGAAGAAUUGGAAGAGAAACUAGAUAAUGAGCAAUCAACUUUAAAGUUCAAGGACAAGAGGAGGAAAGAAAGGACCAAAUACCAUUGUAUGAACCCUUUCAUUUUUCUUUUCUCAGAAAUGAUGAAAGAAGCAAAAUGGAAAGCUGAAUGUGAAGGCUGAGAGAGAUAAGAGUGGAGCCAUAUUUAUACACAUGAUUUCAAGCAAACAACCACCAGUCAUGUUCAGACAUUCAAACAACCAAUUUUUUUUUGGGAAGUCAAACAACCAUUUUUAUUAUUGAUAUUUUUUAAAAGAAAAUUAUUUCAUACAUUGUUAAUUUGUAAAUUUCAUCAACUAAAUUAAUUAGAUUGUCACAUACUUCAAUAUUAAAAUAUAUUUAAAAAAUUAAUAAUUUAAUACAAUACAUAAAAAAUAUGUAACAAUAUUUUAACUUUAAGUUAGAAACAUGGGGACUAUUGUUUUUUUGGUAACCCCCACUGGUUCAAUUCAAGUAACCAAAAAACUUAUCUCUCGUAAUUAUUAAUAUCAUAAAUAUUGUUUACGAUAUUUUAUUGUAGCCUUAGAAUUCAAGCCAUCAAAGAAUCAGCGAAGAGUGCAAUAAACUUUUUGUCAGAUAUGAAGUUUUUUAAAAACUUCUUAUGCCAUUAAUCAGAUAUUAAUUUAAAAACAAAAUGAUCUUGAUAAGCUCAACUAGAAAGUCCAUAGUGCUUUCCAAAUUAGAAGCCAUCGUCUACCUCCUCAAGCAUACUCAACAUGCCAACCCCACAUAUCGUGAAACAUGCUGUCCUUCGGACAUAUUUUAAGCUUUAAAAUAGAUACAAAUUUGGCACCUUCAUUGCACUUUGAUUCAAACUGAUAGGUUUGUUUACGAUGUCAGUGACAAACUUAUAUGUAUAUUCUCAAAGCUUCAUGAAUUUGAUUAUUAAAGAAAAAAAAGAUGAUCAUGAUCCAAUAUCUCAAUUUUAUGAAAUCUAAUUUUGAAGAAAGAAAUUUCAAACCCAGUUCUUUAUUUGUUAUCUUCGUCGAAUACUUACCCAAGUGCAAAGGCUUAUCGUUAGUAUUCACAUCUUCCUAGUCAAAUAGUUCAAUUCAAGUCCUCUCUUUUCUCACAUCCAAGGGAAAAUCAAAGAGAAUUUCCGUAGUUUUAACGGAAAAGAAAAGAACAGGAAAGAACAAAGUCAAGUCUUUUUGCAGUGCCUUCCUUCCGUGUUAAAUUAUAGUGUAAUUUACAAUUGAGACCUCCAUUGCUACAAAAUUUAUAGUAUAAUUUAACAUGUAAGUGUUCAACUAGUCAAAAAGCAAAUGAAUAAUAUAUCCAUGAACAUCAUGCUUUCAUAGGAAAACAUUAUAGUCAUGAUUCUUGUGAAGGCACCGUGUUGACUUGGGAAGAAGUUAGAAUUUGUAGCAUUCUGUCCGCAUCAUGGAAUUAAAUCUGGGGUCAUUGCAUGGAUAAUACACAGCAAGAAUUCCAUUUCUCUCAUUUCGGUUGCUUCAGAUUUCACUUCUCUAAAAAAAUCUCAUCAUUUUUUUAUAAUUCCCAAUGUCACAUGCAAGUCAAUCUAAAUUAGCAGAGGUUGAAAAUAUUGUUGCAUUAUAUAUGGCUGGAAUCUAAAUUAGAAAUGUCAAAUCUACCAAUUCCCGAGGUAUCUUGCCAAUAAGCUUGUUCAAUGAGAAAUCUAACCAUUCAAGAUUGGUCAAGUUUCCAAUGGAUGGUGGAAUAUGACCAAAGAAGUUGUUAUGAGAAAGAUUAAACACUAUGAGUGAAUUAAGCUUUCCUAUAACUUCUGGAAUCACGCCCUGGAAGUAGUUAUUGGAGAGAUCAAUGCUUGUGAAUAUGGUUAAAACUUUCACCAAUUCAACCUCUUGUCCUUUUAUUGUCAGAACUACCGAAUAAUCAUAUGACGACUUCCUUCCACAUAUUUUGAAGAACUUCUGCUGUCAGUGAGAUUCGUCAUAGCUUUUAGAUUUUCAAUGUAACAAGUGGGAAAAGGACCAACAAAAUCAUUGUUAGAGAGGUCUAAGACUCGUAGCUUGGGGAAAAGUAGUCUUGCUCUGGAAUUAUUUGCAACACCAUGGAAUUUAUUUGAACUCGAACCAAGCACUUGCAGCAUUGGAAGAGUUUCCAACCAAUUGGGAAAUGUACCCGUGAACUUGUUCUUGCCAAGGUCUAGAACCUAAAGGUUCCUACAAUUGGCCAAAGAUCUUGGUAACAACCCUUCCAUUUGGUUCCCAUGGAAGUUUAGAUUCUCUAAGCUACAGGGUUCCACAAUUGAUUUGGGGAUGGUUCCAUGAAAAUUAUUUGCCCUCAGAUCCUACGCUAAACGAUUUUUACUAAAGUUAAGAAGACAACUAGAAAUCUUGCCACUCAAGUUGUUAUGUGAUACAUCAAUAAUUUUCAGGGAACUGACCAUGCAAAUGAAAGAAGGAAUCUCCCCCGUCAUGUAAUUGUUCGCGAUGGAAAAGAAAGAUAUCUGAACGGGUGGAAUUGGAAGCACUCCUUGAAACAGGUUAGAUUGGAGGUAGAGAAUUACAGCAUUCCUCCAUGUUAAUUGCAAAUGACCUGUUAGAAAAUUAUGAUCAAGGUAUAAAUGUAACAAAGAUUCCUUCCCCACAUUCCACAUCCAUUUGGGAAUCUUGCCUUGAAUUCUAUUUUUGGAAAGGUCUAAAAACUUCAACGCUUUUGAACCUCUCAAGAAAUUGGGGAAUUCACUCAAGUUACAAGACGACAAUGACAAGGACUGGAGUUUGGUCCAUGUGUAGUCGACAUGAUUCUCUGAGCUCAAUGACAGACUAUUAAGAGAAAGAUCGAGUGAUUCAAGAUUUUGGAGCUGGGAAAACAUGUCUAACUCAACAAUGCCACUAAAGUUAUUUAAUGAUAGAUCAAGCACGGUGAGGUUUACAAGUUGAAAGAUUGAGCUUGGAAUAUGACCCUGCAACGUGUUAUUUUUUAAAUAGAUUAUGGACAAAGAUUUUGACCGGAAUUCGCUAAUAUGACCGGUGAGUCUAUUAUUGGCAAGAGACAAUAACUGUAAUGAAGGUAACUUAAACACCCAAGGUGGUAUAGUUGCAUUAAGUAAGUUAGAAGGCAAGAAUAAAGUUACUAAUUUUGAAAACCCAUUUGCAUAAUGAGGAAUAGUGCCCUCUAGUUCAUUGUAUGACAAUUCUAAAUGUUGAAGCUAUGUGAGGUUUGCAAGUGAUGCUGGGAUCCAUCCACUAAACUUAUUAUCCGAGAGCUCUAAGGAAACAAUUUGUGAAAAGUUUACAAGUGAUACCGGGAUUGACCCAUUCAAGUCACAAUUAGCAACAUUUAAAGAUUUCAAUGACUUCAAACCCCUGAUUGAAUCAGACAAUUCUCCAACAAGAAUAGUCUGUUUAAGCCUAAGACUUCAAGGGUAUUAGUCCCAUUGGACUUUGGAAGAUAAACCAGAAGAUCAGGGUUGUUACCUAAUUUGAGCAACUUCAGAUUUGGAAAUUGAAAAAUUAUGUCCGAAAUUGUCCCAUUUAAUCCACAAUCAUCCAGACUAAGAGAUGUCAAAGAGGAAGAAAGGUUCACUAAGUGAACAGGGUCAACUGAACACAUGUCUAUUCCAGGAAGGAAAAGUUCUUUUACCUCGCUAAAGUUCUUAGCUAACCUUUUCAGAGUUGUUGUUUCAAGCUUCAGUGCAUGAAACGGCUCUUGUUCACCGACACCAGGCAGACUGAACCUAGACAGAUCAAGUGAAACUAGCUUGGAAAGAUGUGAGAUUUCGGAUGGAACUUGGCCUGAAAAAAAUGAAGUAGAGAGGUUAAGAUGUGUUAAAUUUGGGAACUGACCAAACCUAGCUGAAAUCUUGGAUUGCCCGAAAUUGUUAAAUGCGAGAUUGAGCCUCUUCAAGUGUUGAAGGAGGAAAAGAGUGCUGUUGGAAGGAAUGGUACCAUAAAGCCAACUGCAACUAAGAUCAAGGCCAAUCACAUGACCUGUAACGCCAUCGCAAGUGACUUCAUCCCAUAAACAGAAAUCUGAAUCUUCCUUCCAUGAGUCUGUCUUAGGAAAAGAAUACGUAGGACUGCCAUAAUUUGAAUUGCAAAGUAACGAAGCAGUAUGAUCAAUAAAGAGGGUCUGCUUGAAGAGAAGCAAAGCCUGACCCUCAUUGUGAGACCAUGAUGGCCUUUGCUUUGAAGAAGUAAAACAAGACGAAAUGUAAGCUUGAGAAUACAAGUAAAAAAAGAGGAAUGAGAUGAAUUGAUAACUCCCAAGAAAACACCUCAUUUUUCCCUACGUCAAAGUUCCUAUAAACUCUUGAUUUGGUUGAUGAGGAGACGCACAGAAGUAUUUAUAAACUCAGUAGCAAGAGCAAUUCUUAAUUUUCUGUUUUCUCAAUCAUAUUUUCCGCUGAAGAGUGACGGAUGAGCUAACACACGCAGAAGACUAACAACAGAUUCUACAUUAUUACAAUAGGGAAGACUCAAAUGAGAAAUGAUGUCAAGUUAUGAAAUCCUGAAAUAAUGGGGGAGGUAGCAACACAGAUUUUCUCGGAAGAUUCAAAUUUCAAUUCCCUCUUUUCACAUUACAAUUCCCUUUCAGGUUGGAUUUGGUUUGGUCACCUCUAAGAAAGCUUGAAUUGCUGCAUAUGGAAAGCAAGCAUGAAAGGGUUUUUCUCGUCAAGUAAUCUACAAUUAUUCCAACUUCCAUGUUUAAAUCUUAUAGGCUUGUUCAAAUUUAAGUACAAAGCUUAUUUUUCUUUCGAUGAGUAUAAAAUCCAAUUUAUUAAUUUGGCUCAAGGUCAAUCAGUUAAUUGGGUUUAAAGCCUCCAAUGCUAAUUGGGUUAAAUGGGUCAGUUGCAUCUCGACUUGACAAGUCCACAUUAAAAAACGAAAAUAAAUACAUAAAAAAUUAAAACAUAAUAAAAUGCAAAAAAUAAAAAACGCUAAUAAAAACAUAAUGAAAAAAACAAAAAAGAGAGAAAAAUGGCAGUUGUUAUACCAAAUAAGAAAUGAAAAUGAAUGAAAGGUUUAAAAUUGCACCCCUUCUUAUAAGAUAUCAAUUCAUAAAAAUUUUCAAGAAAAUGAGAAUUAAUGUUAAAUCUAAAAAAAAGUUCUCAAUAUUUAAGCAAUAAUAGUAAAAGAAAGUUAAAAUAAUUAAAUAUGAAAUUAAAAAUAAUUUGUCAAAGGUUAAAAUAGAAUAACACAUGAUUUACCAAUAUUGUUCUUUAAACAAGUGUCGGUAAUACUUUCAUUAUACGUAAUUGUAUUGUCCAAUUCUAAAACUAUUUCGUAAAUCGGAUUUUAUUUUUUAAAUAAACUUAAAUCAAGUUUAAAAUCUCAUUAGAAAAAAUAAAUUCAAAUAAGUGGUCAAUUACACUUAAAUAAAAAUAAUUAAUAGUGAAUCUUUUUUACCUAAAGCGAUCGGUGCCUAGACUCAUACAAUGCAAUUUAUAUCUAUCACAGUAAAAUCAACACAAAGGACAAAUUGGUCAGCCACUAUUCAAUUAAAUAAUUCUGAAAUUUCCAGGAGACAAUGACUAAUCUAACAAGUGGUAAAUUGAGUUGCCCUUAAACCCACUUGAAAGUGGGAAGCCCAAUCCCAAGUCUUGCAACAAUUUCAUCUUCAAACACAAAUGAUGGAAUUCUGGCAUAACUCAUACAAAUAAAAGAAAAAAUCAAUUAACCUGGGGAAAUCUUCUCGAUGGUAAAAAAUGGGUCAUUUAUUUGUUCUAAUUGCAGGUUCAGUACAUUCUUCAAAUUAAAAAUCUCCAUUUGUCAUGCAACCCAAUGUUAAUGGUAUUCUUUAUUUUCCAUAAAAUUUAAACUUAUCACUCUAUUUAAAUUAAUCACUCAUUGUUCAAUAAGUGUAAUUUUAUCGUAUACUACCAUAUAAUACUUUUUAAUUUGAUUUAUAUAUGAUAAAAAAUUAAAAUAUUUUUCAGAUUAUUCUUUUUUUUCCUCUCGAAAUAUUUUUUUAAUGGUUAACUUUUGAUCUUUUUUUUUUAACUAAAUUAAAAUGUAAAACUGAUAAAAUUAUACUCUUUUAAAAACAAAUGAAAAUUUUGAUUUUUCUCUCCUGGUUUGCAUUUUUUCUAUCUGCUUUCCUUCUACUUAACACAAGCAUGGAAUUGCCUGUGUUGUAACAAGCAGAAUUCUCAAGCAUGACCUGGUUUGUGGAAAUUCAACUCUAUGUUUAAGAAACUCUAUUUUUACAUUCAUCAUCUAUGAUUAACAUGCUUACAAGUUCUUUCUUGUAUAAGCGAGUAAUUUCAUUCAUCAAAGUAUAUGAACAUCCUUCAAGUACAACAAAGCUGUUCACAGAGGACAGUACCUUUAGGAAACAAGAAAGUCAAAACAAACAGGGAGAAAACUGCUAAAACAACCCAAGCAUGAGAACAAAAGACACUUAUUAUACAAAAAUGUAUUCAAGAAAUCUCCAGAGAGCAUCAUCUGUCUUCACAGAGUUCUUCUUCUUCAAUCAUAUCUCUUCAAUCUCCUCAGAAUUUUGUAGCCUACUCUUUGAACCAUCCUAACAAGCCAUUCUGGUUUUCCAAUUGUCAAUAUGAUAUAUCCUGCGGAUAAUCCAAGCACCAAUCCACAUCCAUAACCCAUCAUUACAAAUUUCCAGUCCGAUGGAGAAGAAAAAAUUCCUUCCUCGUGAAAAACAGAUUCUGGUGGCUCUUGUGUGUCUUCCUUGCCACACGUCUUUGACACUGGAAAUCCGCACAAUCCCAAGUUGCCACCAUAGGAAUCAUUCAGAAAGGUAUUGAAUUGAUUUCCCUGAGGUAUAUGUCCAACAAGCUGGUUCUGUGACAGGUUUAACACUCCAAGAAAUUUCAAACCAGUCAACUGCAUAGGAAUCUCCCCGAUAAGCUUGUUGGAGGAGAGAUCCAGUGACUCAAGCGCUGCUAGAUUCCCCAAUGAGGAAGGAAUAUGACCUGUCAGGUUGUUAUGGGAAAAAUUGAGGAUUUGGAGAGAAGAGAGGCUUCCAACUAUUUCUGGAAUUUUUCCUUGGAAUUUGUUGCUCGAAAAAUCAACGGCUGUAAAAACAGUUAGAACUCUCUCAACUUCAAUGUCCAGACCUUUCAUUGUGACAAACAUGGAAAAAUGGUGAUAACCAUUAGGAUUUUCCAUAUAUUUCAUGUCAACAUUGGACAAAUUCAUCAUACCCUUGAAGCUUUUAAAAAAUGCAGUUGGCAAAAAACCAGAGAACUCAUUGUGCGAGAGGUCUAAAAUUCGUAGAACUGAGAAAUUUGAUUCAGCUUCUGAAAGGAGUAUUUGACCAUGGAAAUAGUUGGAGCGUAAGAUAAUAACUUUUAGCUGAGUAAGAGUUCCUAACCAGUGGGGAAAGGUAUCAUUUAUCCUGUUGUUUCCAAGAUUUAACACUUCCAAAUCAUGACAGUUCACCAAGGAUUUAGGAAAUGGCCCAUCAAAAUCAUUGUUCUGGAGAUUAAGUGUCUGUAAUUCAUUUCCAGCCACAAAUGAAUCAGGGAUAUUUCCAUGAAAUUUAUUCAUGUGCAAAUCCAGGAUAUAAAGACCAAGCAUGGUUUCUCCCGAGCAAAGACAUUCUGGAAUAGUUCCACUCAAGUUGUUAUUGGAUAAGUCAAGAAUUGAAAUUGACAUCAAAUUGCAUAUGGCAGAAGGAAUUUCUCCAGUCAAUUUGUUUUUUGAGACUAAAAAAACUUUCGUGGAAGAUGGUGGUACCAGAAGUGGUCCUUCUAGCAGGUUGGAACCAAGGUUAAGAAUCACUAUGUUCUGUGGGUAAUAUUCUAGACCCGUUAAAAAAUUAUUUGAAAGAUCAAGAUAAUUCAAUUUUUUUCCCCAAGUUGUUGUCUGUUUGGAAAUUCGGCCUUCAAUGGUGUUGUUUGAAAGGUCUAGUCGUAGCAAACUCUCUUGAGUUGUCAAAAAAUUUGAAAGUUCAGUUAUAUUGCAAGAAGACAACGACAAAAAACUAAGAUUAGGCAAGACAAGACUAACAUUGCUAUUAUCGCUCAGGGAUAGUGGAAAGUUAUGUGAAAGAUAAAGAAAUUCAAGGCGUUUAAACUUUAAAAACAUAGUUGCCUCGAUGACAUGGAUUUUAUUGUAAGAAAGGUCUAGAUAGACUAAGCCUUCUAGAUUUCUUACAAAAUCCGGAAAUUCACUUAUGUUGCAGGAAGAUAAUUCUAACCACCCAAAAUUGGGCAAGGAAUAAUUCGCAUUGCUUCCACUGGUCAAUGACAGUAAAGCAUUAUUUGAGAGAGAUAGUACCUGAAGCUUGUUAAGCUUUGAGAGUUUGUCCAAUUCGAAGAUGCCAUUCAACUUAUUUGAGGAAAGAUUAAGAUGGAUGAGGUUCACAAGUUUGAAAACAGAGCUUGGAAUUGGACCAUGUAUCUCAUUAUUCUGCAGCUUAACAAUCUCCAAAGGAGCAACCUUCUCAAAUGGGUCAAUAGGGCCAGUUAGCCCGUUAUAACUGAGAUCCAAAUCAACCAAGGUUGGAAGAGUAAACAACCAAUUUGGCACUCUACCAGACAGAAAGUUAUGGUCCAAGUGAAGUCUCAAUAGUCGUGAAAGCCCACUUACGUGAUAGGGAAGGGGACCCAUCAACCUGUUUGUUGAAAAGGACAUAAUUUCAAUUUUUGUGAGGUUGAAUGCUGAAAAUGGAAAAAGACCACUAAGAUCGUUAUUAUCUAAGGACAAGUGAAAAAGUUUGGUGAGGUUCCCAAAACCAUCUGAAAUCUGUCCUACCAAACUAUUAUAGGAAAGGUCUAAAUAUGUGAGCUGCAUGAAGUUAGCAAAUGAAAAUAAAAGUUGGCCAGUAAUUAAGUUCCGUCGCAGGUCUAAAUAGUUUAGUCUAGUGAGGUUGCCAAGAGAUGCAGGAAUUGACCCACUUAAUUGGCAGAAAGAAAGAUCCAAUACCUGGAGAGACCUAAGAUUGCCAAUUGAAUCAGGUACUUCUGCCAGAGAAGAUGAAUAUGAGACUCGUAGCAACUUGAGAGGACCACUCCAAUUAGUCUUUGGGAAGUUGAUUUCCAGGAUAUCAUCAUUACUAAAUAAACUGAACUUCUGGAGGUAUGGCAGGCGCAAAACAUCUUCAGGGAAUUUCCCCCGCAGCCCAUUACUCUCAAGAACAAGAGUCCUUAUGAAAGAAGACAUAUUAAGGAAAGAACUAGGUGCAACUAAAGACAUAUCGAUAGCAGAGAGAUCAAGGUCUCUUAGUUGUGUCAAGUUUCCCAAGAGUUUUUCAAAAACAUGCCCCUCAAAGAUUAAAGGAUUUCCGGAUAUAUCAAGAGAUAAAAGUUUAGAAAGCUGAGAGAUUUCAAGUGGGAUUGUACCUGUAAAUCCUGAGGAACUGAUAUUUAGAUGGGUUAAAUUAGUAAACUGACCAAACUCAAAUGCCAUGCGGGACGGGCCGAAAUAAUUUUCAGCAAGGUUAAGCUUGUGGAGAUGGUGGAGAAGGAAGAGGCUGCUAUUAGAGGGGAUACUGCCUCGAAGGCAGCUGCAACUAAGAUCAAGGCCAAUCACGUUACCUGUUUCAGAAUCACAGUUCACCCCAUCCCAGAAGCAGCAAUUUGUACCCACUUUCCAGGAGAUUGUCUUCCUCUUAUAUUUAUCGCACGAUAAGGAAACAGAGCAAUCGAUGGAAAGGGAAUUCUUGAAUUGGAUUAAGCCAAAGCUCUGGUCAUAAGAACACAACUUAAAUGGAGUAGAAGAAUUGAAAGAGAAACUAGAUAAUGAGCAAUCAACUUGAAAGUUCAAGGACAAAAGGAGGAAACAGAGGACAAAAUACCACUGUAUUAACCUUUUCAUUUUUUUUUUUUCUCUCAGAGAUGACGAAAGUAGAAAAAGGACAAGCUGAAUGUGAAGGUUGAGAGGGAAGCCUGGAGACCAUAUUUAUUGAUUUAUGAUUUCAAGCAAACAAUCACUCAUCAUGUUCACACGUUCAAGCAACUGUUUUCCUUAUUGAUAUUUUUCAAAAGAAACUCAUUUCAUACAUUGUCUAGAUUUCAUCAAUUAAAUUAAUUAGAUUGUCACAUAAUUCAUUAAAAUAUAUGUUAAAAAAUUAAUAAUUUAAUAUGCCGGUCUUCAAAACUCAGAAGACCAAGACUUCGGCCUACCACGUUUCCACUCCGCGUGAGAGAAGGGCCCAAACCAACGACUAACAACAUGACUUUAAUAUCUUCUCCUAAAAGGCGUAAUAGUGAAGGCUGACUAUUGAGGAUGGAGUAGACAGGAAUUGAACGGGUCAUUGAUGCUAAUGCUCUUUCAAAGAGAAUAGUAUGGAGACUCUCUUUCAUCUUCACCAUAAUACUGAAUAUCAAUUUGGUGAAAUCAAUAUAUUAUCCAGGGCAACAAGAGAUUGAAUUUUAUAAGGCAAUAAGGCAUACAGGAGAAGCAACAUUAUCUGCAGCAAGCCAAUAACCCCUCAUAUAGUUCAAAUCAAAUCCCUUUCUUAUACCCUUUUGUAGAUUGGGUAAAAUCUUAAAACCUCUUCAAAACACUUCAAAAAAGGCACUUUAAUCCCUUUUAUUUUAAAAUAAUAUUUUGCAUCUUUGACUGUUAAUAUUAGACCAAAUACUAUAUAAAUAUUUUUUGACAUAAAUAUUCUCUUUUCAAAAAAUCUGCUCAUCAUUCUCCCAAAAAAUUUAAUUAAAAAAAUCUAAAAACUUUUGAUUUGAAGGCUUAGAAAUUUGAAGCUUAAUCUACCUUGAAAACUAUAAACAUCUUUUGAGGUAAACUAUAUUACGGUCACACUCUUUAUUCAUCCAGUAGUUUAAGAAUAUUUUUCAUUAAAAAGAAUGUAUUAAAGCAAAUAUUUUGUUCAAUUAUGGAUAUUUCAAAAUUGAUGGUAUCGGGUUAAGAAAUUAAUUUUUUACUUGGGAUUACUAAUUUUAUUGAAAAAUUUUUGCUCAAAAAUUGUUCUUUGAGGUUAGGGUUUAGAGUGACAUAAAAAGAUUUUGAUUUAAUUACUACAUAUAAAAAGUUUUACGGUUUUUUUUCUUUGUCAAAUAUUAAAUUUUAUAAAAUAUCAAAAUGAUACAAACUACAAUAUUCAUAAAUCCUGUUCUAGAAUUUUAUUAAGUCUUAAGUUUUUUUUUUGUCAAAUAUUGAAUUUUAUUAAAUAUUAAAAUGAAUAAUUUAUCAAGUUAUUGAAAGGAAGAUGAGCAGAAUCUUUUAAGAGUACAUUUGUAUCCUAUAAUAUUUAUACAAAAUUGGGUAUAAUUUUUUUUAAUUGUUGACUAACGAUUUUAACAAUAAAGGGAUCAAAAAUAUCAUUUUGAAACAAAAAAAAUCAAAAUGUCCUUUCAAAAUGUUUUAACGGGCUUUUUGAAUUUUACCCUUUGGAGAUCUUGUUUUCAUUAUGAGAUACUUCAUUGGUCAAAAUUUUCUCUUUGGUUUGGUUAUUAAAUGGAACCAAUUUUGCUUCUUUCUGUUACCAAAACACCCACAACCCUUUCACUCAAUUUUAAAAAUAAAAAUUGGUUGAUUGAUGAAAUUAAUGUAUUUGAUAAUUUUUUUCCCUCAAAUUAAUUUAAACUAUAACGCUCCUGUUAAAAAAUAUAUAGAAAAUACAAAAAUUAAAAAUUGGAUAAAAAGGGGGAAAAGGCCCAAAACCACUUUUAUAGUUUUAUUUAUAUACCAAAACAAAAGGCCUAAUAUGCCUUUGACGUUUUUCUUAAAGUAAAUGACAAAAUCCUUCAAGUGAUCUUUGAUGUCUUACAAUUUGAAGUGAAUCAAAUUUGCAAUUAAAUUUGACUAUUGUGAUCCACUCAUUCAACUGACCAAAAACAUAAUCAGGAUUUCAAGAGUAUUAUUUCUCACAAGCACAUUAGACAGCAUCUGUAGAGUCCAAUUACUUUGCUUCCGUAGCAAGCGGUGUUUUGCGUGAAGAAAAUUAUGGCGUACUCUUUGGGGCCGGGGUCUUUAAAGCUCGUAAGACCGAGACUUUUGCCUGCCACUUUUCCACCACUCCGCUGAAGGCGGGACUCAGACCAAGGACUUACAACAUGACUCUGAUAUGUUCUCCUAAACAGCGUAGUAGUGAAUGCUAACUAUUGAGAAUGGAGCAGACAAGAAUUGGACAGGUCGUUGGCGCUAAUACUCUUUGAAAGAGACUAACAUGGAGAUUCUCUUUCAUCUUCACCAUAAUACUGAAUAUCAAUUUGAUAAAAUCAAUAUGUUAUCCAGGGCAACAAGAGAUUGGAUUUUAUAGGACAUUAUAAGGCAUACAGGAGAACCAAAGACAGUAUAAUACGCAAAUGUAAUCAACAAACCACCGAAGAGCAGCAUCUGUCUUCGCAGAGUUUCUUCUUCCUCAAUGAUAACUCUUCAAUCUCCUCAGAAUUUUGUAGCCUAGUCCUUGAACCAUCCUAACAAGCCAUUCUGGUUUUCCAAUUGUCAGCAUGAUAUAUCCUGUAGAUAAUCCAAGCACCAGUCCACAUCCAUAACCCAUCAUUACAAAUUUCCAAUCCAAUGGACAAGGAAAAAUUCCUUCCUCAUGAAGAGCAGAUUCCGGUGGUUCUUGUUCCUCAUCCUUGCCACACCUCUUUGACACUGGAAAUCCGCACAAUCCCAAGUUGCCACCAUAGGAAUCAUUCAGAAAGGUAUUAAAUUGAUUUCCCUGAGGUAUGAGUCCAACAAGCUGGUUCUGUGACAGGUUUAACACUUCAAGAAAUUUCAAACCAUUUAACUGCAUAGGAAUCUCCCCGACGAGCUUGUUGGUAGAGAGAUCCAGUGACUCAAGUGCUGUUAGCUUCCCCACUGAGGAAGGAAUAUGACCUGUUAGGCUGUUAUGGGAAAAAUUGAGCACUUGGAGAGAAAUGAGGUUUCCAACUAUUUCUGGAAUUUCUCCAUGGAAUUUGUUGCUUGACAUAUCAAUGGUUGUAAAAAGAGUUAGAAUUCUCUCAAGUACCAGGUCCAUACCUUUCAUUGUGACAAGCACGGAAAAAUGGUAAUAACGAUUCAAAUCUUCCAUAGAAGUCCGUUGAACAUUGGACAAAGUCAUCAUACCCCUGAAACUUUUAAAAUAUGUUGUUGGCAAAAGCCCAGAGAACUCAUUGUGGGAGAGGUCUAAGAUUCGCAGAGCUGAGAAGUGCGAUUCAUUUUCUGAAGGGCUUAUUUGACCAUGGAAAUAGUUGGAGCGCAAGACAAGAACUUGCAGCUGAGGAAGAGUUCCCAACCAGUGGGGAAAGGUACCGUUUAUCUUGUUGUUUCCAAGAUUUAACACUUGCAAAUCAUGACAGUUCUCCAAGGAUUUAGGAAACGGCCCAUCAAAAUCAUUGUUGUUGAGGUUAAGUAUCUGUAAUUUGUUUCCUACAACGAACGAAUCAGGGAUGUUUCCAUGAAAUUUAUUCAUGUGCAAAUCUAGGACCGUAAGAUUAGGCAUCUUACCUCUCGAGGCCAGACAAUCUGGAAUAGCUCCGCUCAACUCGUUAUUGGACAAGUCAAGAACUGAAAUUGAUAUCAAAUUACAUAUGGAAUAAGGAAUUUCUCCAACCAACUUGUUUUUUGAGAUUAAGAAAACUUCCAUCGAAGAAUUGGAAGAGAAAUUAGAUAAUGAGCAAUCAACUUUAAAGUUCAAGGACAAGAGGAGGAAACAAAGGACCAAAUACCACUGUAUUAACCCCUUCAUUUUUUUUUCUCAGAAAUGGUGAAAGAAGCAAAAUAGAAAACUGAAUGUGAAGGUUGAGAGAGAUAAGAAUGGAGACCGUAUUUAUACAUAUGAUUUCAAGCAAACAACCACCAGUCAUGUUCACACAUUCAAACAACCAUUUUUAUUACUGAUAUAGACUACAACCCGUGCUUUGCAUACAGACCUCUUUUUAUUUGUUUUUUUCUUUCUCUUUCUACCUCUUUUUUUUUUUUUUCUUCUCUUUUUCCUAUGCCUUUCACGUAGGUAAAGGAGGAAGCCCUAAGUAUGUUAUAAAUUUUUUAAAAGAAAAUUAUUUCAUAUAUUGUUAAUUUGUAAAUUUCAUUAACUAAAUUAAUUAGAUUGUCACAUACUUCAAUAUUAGAAUAUAUUUAAAAAAUUAAUAAUUUAAUAUCAUACAUAAAAAAAUAUGUAACGAUAUUUUAACUUUAAGUUGGAAACAUGGGAUUGUAGUUCUUUUUUUUUCAACCCCCAAUGAUUCAAGUAACCAAAAAACUUAUCGGGAUAUCAAGAGUAUUAUUUCAUAAAACCAAGACUUUCACUUGUCAUGUUUUUACCUUGGUAUGAACGUGGGACUCAAACCAAAGGACUAACAACAUGACUUUUAUGUCUUCUUAAAAAGCAUAAAAUUGAAGGCUAAUCUCUAAGAAUGAAACAGGUAAGAAUUGAACGUGAACGUAUCAUUGAUAUAAAAUAUAAAAAUAUUAUAUAAUUAUAUUAUUAUAUUAUAUCAAUCUAUCAUAUUUAAAGAUAAAGCUCUUUUAAUGGAUCUAAAAAAAUUUUUAAAUUUAUUUUAUAUUAUAUAAAAUUUUUAAUUUUUUUAUAAAUUCUUUUAAUAUCUUUUCUAAAAUAACUUUUAAUUUAAUAAUUAAUGUAAAUAAAAAAUAACAAAAUGAUUCCAUAUGCUUGACUCAAUUUAAAAGUUUUGUUUUAUUUUUUUUCAAUUUAUAUUUUAAUUAUUUAUAUUUACUUUUUUUCAUUUCUAUUAUAUUUAUUCAUAUGUUUUAAAUCUUUAUAAAUUUUCUUCCACAAAUUUCAACGAACAAUCAGUCAUAUUCUUUUUCCUUCUUUUUACUAUGUCAUAUGUGAGUUUAUCUUAUACUUGCCAUGUUUAUAUUUUUUCUAUUAUGUGAAUUUUAUUUUUAUGAUUUUAGUCUUUAAAUAUUAAUAAAUUAUUAUAUAAUUUUCAAAUAUAAGUUGCAAUAUUGUACUAUUGUUUAAAAUUUUAUCAAUAUAUCAUUUUUUAUUCAGAAUAACCGAUACGCUCUAACAUGUAUGUUUCAUACUUUAAGUAACAAGGAUAUAUAUACAAAUUAAUAAAAUUAAAUGAUCGUAUUUCUUUCAAUACAAUUUAUUUAUUAUAUAUAUUUUUAAUGACCCUCAAAAUAAUUUUUUAUUUAAUAAUUAUUUUUAUUCCUCAAAUUAUUUGAUAAUAUUACAGUCAUUAUGGUCAAUAUUUCACUAGUUAAUCCCAACAAAUAAAAUAUUCUAACAUAAUAUGUUAAGCCUAUCAAGUUUUAAAGAAAAAAUAAAUUGACUCUACUAACCUAAACCCAUUAAAUUUUAAUAAAAAUCUAAACAUAUCAUAACAUAUUAUAUCUUAACAGUCCAACCCAAUAGCUUAUCAUAACAUAUUAUAUUUCAAUAGUUCAACUCAAUAACUUAGUAUGUUAAUUAACAAUUUAAGAGGUAAAUAAAAAAUAAAAAAAAAGAGCUUUUUUAAAAAGUUAUUCAUUUUGUAUAAAACACACAAAGUAAAGAGACAUUUGAAUUUGAAAAUUUGUUUUCUCUUCCACUUUUGGGCACAGAGAGUGAAAAAGACUCAUUUCAUAAUUUCAUUCCGUUUAUAUAUAUAUAACGCCAUUAUUACUAUUAAUGUGUAUUUUUUUAUAUAUCCAAUGUUUUAUGAAUUUUAUUUAAUCUUUUAGAUGAGUGAAAAUUAAAUGGUAUAUAAAGUUCUCUGUGACUGUUUAAUGUCUCUUUCUAUUUGAUUCUCUUUAAAAUGCUUUAACUUCGUCAUUGAUCACGUCAUCAUAAUUAUGAUAUAUUAACAUGCUAUGUCAACGUUACGUGAUAUAAAAUGAUAAUUAAUAUUUUGAUUAAAUCAAUCUUUAAUUAUAAUUUUUUUAAGGUUUGGCAGAUGAGAAUUAGGCCACGUCUCUUAACCAUCCAGUUUGCUAAAGGUUGCAAAUUAUUAUAGCCAACUUACCGGUUUAGAUCAUUAUUGGACUCUCCUCAUGUUUCUUCGAAAGUUUUUUUGUUAAAUAGAGACUCUGGUCAAUUGUUAGUAUUGAAUCGCUUUCUUAAUUGAAUUUUUUGAUUAAUUGUCAGUGUUGAAUCACUUUCUUAAUUGAAUUUUACAUAGAAAAUUCAUUCUUUCUUCGAUAUUUCAAAAAAAUAAUCAUAAUUUUUUUUCUUGUUUGAUUAUUAAAUGAAACCAAUUUCUUUUCUAUCUGUCCCCAAAGGUCCCACAACCUUCAUACUCAAUUUUAAAUAUAAAAAUUGAUUGAUUGAUGAAAUUAAUGUAUUUGAUAAUUUUUUCUCUAAUUAAUUUUAAACAGUAACCUUUUUGUUAGAAAAAAUAUAUAGAAAAAAAAAAGAAUGGAUGAAAAAAGAAGAAAAGGCCCAAAACAUCUUUCACCACCAAAAAGCCCAAAACCACUUUCAAUCAAACAACGUUAAAGUCCAGAAACACAAGUAAUGACACGAGUUCGGCUUAAGGUUUAUCCAAAACGACAUACAGUUUUCAUAUCUCUGUCUCCAUUGAUCGUGAAACAAUGGAGGGACGGAUAAAAUACCCUAAAAUUCAAAGAGUAGACUACCAGUCCAAAUUCUUCUCUUAGGUAUUUUUAAUUUUUUUCUUCUCUUGUUAAAAUGUGUUUGGUUGCCUAGAAAACAAAGGAAAAGGAACUAGAAAGCUUGUAAUUCUGUUUCUUUUAUGUUUUUCUAUUUGGCUUUUUGAUAAAACAUUUGGGUUUUGCUAGAAUUGUUAAAUAAAUAAAUAACAUUAACGGAGAUAACUAUGAUAAAGAGAACGAAUUUUUUUUUUUACUGUUGACAAAUGGUGUUAAUAAUAAAAAAAACUAAAAUAUCAUUUUGAAACAAGAAAAAUUAAAGUGUCUUUUCAAAAUGUUUUAACGGGUUUUUUGAGUUUUACCCUUUGGAGAUCUUGAUUUUGUUACGAGAUACUUCAUUGAUCAAAAUUUUCUCUUUUGCUUGGUUAUUAAAUGGAGCCAAUUUCUCUUCUUUCUGUUACCAAAACAACCACAGCCCUUUCACUCAAUUUUAAAGAUACAAAUUGAUUGAUUGAUGAAAUUAAUGUGCUUGAUAAUUUUUUUUUCCUCAAAUUAAUUUAAACUGUAACGCUUCUGUUAAAAAAUAUAUAAAAGAUUACAAAAAUAAAAAAUUGGAUAAAAAGGGGGAAAAGGCCCAAAAUCCCUUUUAUAGUUUUAUUUAUAUACCAAAACAAAAGGCCUAAUAUGCCUCUGACGAUUUUCUUAAAGUAAAUGACAAAAUCCUUUAAGUGAUCUUUGAUGUCUUACAAUUUGAAGUGAAUCAAAUUUGCAAUUGAAUUUGACUAUUGUGAUCCGCUCAUUCAAGUAACCAAAAAACUUAAUCAGGAUUUUAAGAGUACUAUUUCUCACAAGCACAUUAGACAGCAUCUGUAGAAUCCAAUUACUUUGCGUCUGUAGCAAGCAGUGUUUUGCGUGAAGAAAAUUAUGGCGUACUCUUUGGGGCCGGGGUCCUCAAAGCUCAUAAGACCAAGACCUUUGCCUACCACUUUUCCACCCCUGCGUGAAGGUGGGACUUAAACCAAGGACUUACAACAUGACUUUGGCCUGCCACUUUUCCACCCCUGCGUGACAGUGGGACUCAAACCAAAGCACUAACAGCAUGACUCUGAAAUGUUCUCCUAAACAGCGUAGUAGUGGAGGCUAACUAUUGAGAAUGGAGCUGACAAGAAUUGGACAGGUCGUUGAUGCUAAUACUCUUUGAAUGAGAAUAAUAUGGAGAUUCUCUUUCAUCUUCACCAAAAUACUGAAUAUCAAUUUGAUAAAAUCAAUGUGUUAUCCAGGGCAACAAGAGAUUGGAUUUUAUAGGGCAUUAUAAGGCAUACAGGAGAACAAAAGACAGUUAUAAUACGCAAAUGUAUUCAACAAACCAACGAAGAGCAGCAUCUGUCUUCGCAGAGUUUCUUCUUCCUCAAUUAUAACUCUUCAAUCUCCUCAGAAUUUUGUAGCCUAGUCUUUGAACCAUCCUAACUAGCCAUUCUGGUUUUCCAAUUGUCAGCAUGAUAUACCCUGUAGAUAAUCCAAGCACCAGUCCACAUCCAUAACCCAUCAUUACAAAUUUCCAAUCCAAUGGACAAGAAUAAAUUCCUUCCUCAUGGAAAGCAGAUUCCGGUGGUUCUUGUUCCUCAUCCUUGCCACAGCUCUUUGACACUGGAAAUCCGCACAAUCCCAAGUUGCCACGAUAGGAAUCAUUCAGAAAGGUAUUAAAUUGAUUUCCCUGAGGUAUGAGUCCAACAAGCUGGUUCUGUGACAGGUUUAACACUUCAAGAAAUAUCAAACCAAUCAACUGCAUAGGAAUCUGCCCAACAAGCUUGUUGGUAGAAAGAUCCAGUGACUCAAGUGCUGUUAGAUUUCCCAGUGAGGAAGGAAUAU
rnacentral:lncRNA from 1 species